CUGCGCUGCAGACAGAGGAAUGGUGACACAGUCGCAGCUUAUUUCUUCAUCAAAGGAAGUUCUGUUGGUCAUAAACCAGAGCUCAUCAUCACUAACAUCACACAGGCUGAUGAAGGUCUCUACUCAUGUUCUACUGAUGAGGGUGGAAAGUCUCCUCAGAGCUCUCUGAGGGUCAGAGGUCAGAACACUGACAUCACUUCCUGUUUAAAAGCUGAUGUAACAUUGUGACCUGAUAAUAAACUGACUGAACCAUCUUCAUCAUCUCUCCUGCAGAUCCUCUCAAAAUCAUCCAUCCUCCUCCUCCUCACUGUCCUCCUCCUCCAAGCACCUCCACAAACUUUGCUCCUCCUGUAGAAACUGGUCUUACGUGUCCUCCCUGUUCUUCUCCUCCUCCUCCUUCUCUCGUGGUCCCAGUUGUAGCAGGUCUGGUCUCUGGGGUUCUCCUGGUUCUGGUUCUGGGUGGAGUUCGGUUCCUCUGCAGUAAACUAAAAGGAGGUGUGGGAGCAGACCUGUGGAGCUGUGGAGGUGACGGCUGUCUGAGACGGAGCGUCUGCCUCUGCUUUUCAGGCCUGUUUCUGCUGACUGCUGCAGGUGAGCUGAUGUUCCUACACCUGUCUGUCCUCAUCAUGACCUCUGACCUUUGGUGACCUCUGUCCUGUUGCAGGUGUGUGUGUGCUGCUGCUGUCUGCUCUGGCUGCAGGUGAGUAGAGGAUGAAGAACAAACACUAAUAAAUGAAGGAGGAGGGAGAAAAGUCCUCUGGAGGAAGAGCCACAGACAGAGUCCUCCUUCAUUACUGCUGCACUUAAAAUAUUGUUACCACACUCUGCUCCUGAAUCAGGAGGCUUUCUUUUUCUUUCUACCGUCUUGUCAGCUGUCAGCACUGCACAGUGUUUACCACCUUGGGCCAUUACUGUUUUCAUUGUAUCUCCUGCCACUGGGUGCGAUCUUUCGUAAACACAAAGUUUCAUUUCAUUUAUAUGCUGAUGAUUGCCAGCUCUAUUUUCCUUUCAGUCAUUCUGAUAGCUCUCCAAUUAGACUCCUG
rnacentral:lncRNA from 1 species